rnacentral:rRNA from 1 species
AGAUUUAGCUGGUUUCUAGUGGCGGACGGGUGAGUAACGCGUGGGUAACCUGCCUUAUACAGGGGGAUAACAGUCAGAAAUGACUGCUAAUACCGCAUAAGCGCACAGGACCGCAUGGUCCGGUGUGAAAAACUCCGGUGGUAUAAGAUGGACCCGCGUUGGAUUAGCUAGUUGGUGGGGUAACGGCUCACCAAGGCGACGAUCCAUAGCCGGCCUGAGAGGGUGAACGGCCACAUUGGGACUGAGACACGGCCCAGACUCCUACGGGAGGCAGCAGUGGGGAAUAUUGCACAAUGGGGGAAACCCUGAUGCAGCGACGCCGCGUGAAGGAAGAAGUAUCUCGGUAUGUAAACUUCUAUCAGCAGGGAAGAUAGUGACGGUACCUGACUAAGAAGCCCCGGCUAACUACGUGCCAGCAGCCGCGGUAAUACGUAGGGGGCAAGCGUUAUCCGGAUUUACUGGGUGUAAAGGGAGCGUAGACGGACUGGCAAGUCUGAUGUGAAAGGCGGGGGCUCAACCCCUGGACUGCAUUGGAAACUGUUAGUCUUGAGUGCCGGAGAGGUAAGCGGAAUUCCUAGUGUAGCGGUGAAAUGCGUAGAUAUUAGGAGGAA